CGGGGUGUAGCUCAGCCUGGUAGAGUAUUCGCCUGGGGGGCGAUGGGUCGCAGGUUCGAAUCCUGUCACCCCGACCA
rnacentral:tRNA from 1 species